GAUGAACGCUGACAGAAUGCUUAACACAUGCAAGUCUACUUGAACUUCGGUUUGGGUGGCGGACGGGUGAGUCACGCGUAAAGAACUUGCCUCACAGUUAGGGACAACAUUUGGAAACGAAUGCUAAUACCUGAUAUUAUGAUUUUAGGGCAUCCUAAAAUUAUGAAAGCUAUAUGCGCUGUGAGAGAGCUUUGCGUCCCAUUAGCUAGUUGGAGAGGUAACGGCUCACCAAGGCGAUGAUGGGUAGCCGGCCUGAGAGGGUGAACGGCCACAAGGGGACUGAGACACGGCCCUUACUCCUACGGGAGGCAGCAGUGGGGAAUAUUGGACAAUGGACCAAAAGUCUGAUCCAGCAAUUCUGUGUGCACGAUGACGUUUUUCGGAAUGUAAAGUGCUUUCAGUUGGGAAGAAAAAAAUGACGGUACCAACAGAAGAAGUGACGGCUAAAUACGUG
rnacentral:rRNA from 1 species